UCUCCGUAGGUGAACCUGCGGAGGGAUCAUUACAGAGUUCAUGCCCUACCGGGUAGAUCUCCCACCCUAUGUUAUUAUUACUUUGUUGCUUUGGCGGGCCGUUAGGCUCCGGCCCGACUACCGGCCCCGGCUGGUAGGCGCCCGCCAGAGGACCCAAAACCCUGAAUAUUCGUGUCGUCUGAGUACUAUAUAAUAGUUAAAACUUUCAACAACGGAUCUCUUGGUUCUG
rnacentral:misc_RNA from 1 species